GUGCUUAACACAUGCAAGUCGAACGAUGAAGCCUUUCGGGGUGGAUUAGUGGCGAACGGGUGAGUAACACGUGGGCAAUCUGCCCUUCACUCUGGGACAAGCCCUGGAAACGGGGUCUAAUACCGGAUAACACUCUGUCCCGCAUGGGACGGGGUUAAAAGCUCCGGCGGUGAAGGAUGAGCCCGCGGCCUAUCAGCUUGUUGGUGGGGUAAUGGCCUACCAAGGCGACGACGGGUAGCCGGCCUGAGAGGGCGACCGGCCACACUGGGACUGAGACACGGCCCAGACUCCUACGGGAGGCAGCAGUGGGGAAUAUUGCACAAUGGGCGAAAGCCUGAUGCAGCGACGCCGCGUGAGGGAUGACGGCCUUCGGGUUGUAAACCUCUUUCAGCAGGGAAGAAGCGAGAGUGACGGUACCUGCAGAAGAAGCGCCGGCUAACUACGUGCCAGCAGCCGCGGUAUCAAGCUUAUCGA
rnacentral:rRNA from 1 species